ACUUGGAUUUGUCUAUAGUUUUCAGAUUGCUUGUCGUCCCUUUUGCUCCAAUAUAGCCAUGGGGAGACUUGGAAUCGAAUUCCGAGUGGGUAGGAGAGAAUUUUACCUUUUUUAGCGGUCGACGGCGGCUCCAGUGCAGCGGCGCUGGGGGUCGGUCUCCUUCUCCGGUGGCUUGUCCUUCUUCUUCGGCGAGAGCAUGUGCGGCUAGGGUUAGAGUUCUCCUGUGACGCAUUGUUUUAUGCUUAUCCCACAUUGAUCUGUGUCAUCCAUUCGUGUCGAUAUGGAGUGAGGAAAGUCAUCUGAUCAUUUCCUUGUUUAGGCCAAUUGCGUAGAUAUUUCUGGGUCGUUCAUCGCGAUUGAUCUCAUCUGUUCGAUCGGGCCUAAGUAGAGAAUGCAUCUGAGCCAUUCACGUGCGCAAGAUUGAAUCUGAGCCAUCAGAUCGUUAGACACACAGAUCACUCGCAUGGCCUCCUAC
rnacentral:lncRNA from 1 species